UAUUAUUUAAGCGUGUGUGCGCGCACUCGUGCACGUAUGAAAUUGAUUAAGUAAAUCUUUUCAGGUGUAACAGCAGACCGGUGGACUCCACGACGCCAAGAAGUCCGAAGCAUCUGGUUUCUGUUUUAUUGUCACAGGAAGUUGGAGCCCACGACCAAAGAACAGCCUGUGAGGAGGUUGCAGGAACGCUGCCAUCUAAGUGAAAAAGGAAGCAGAAGAGAGGCCAAAAUAAGAGGGUUAA